AGCGAACGUUGGCGGCACGCCUAACACAUGCAAGUCGAGCGCGAACGGACUUCGGUCCUAGUAGAGCGGCGCACGGGUGAGUAACGCGUGAGAACCUACCCCUUGGUCUGGGACAACAGUCCGAAAGGACUGCUAAUACCGGAUGUGAACUAAGGUGGAAAGCUGGGGACCGGAGACGGCCUGGCGCCAGGGGAUGGGCUCGCGUCCUAUCAGCUAGUUGGUGAGGUAAUGGCUCACCAAGGCGACGACGGGUAGCUGGUCUGAGAGGAUGAUCAGCCACACUGGAACUGAGACACGGUCCAGACUCCUACGGGAGGCAGCAGUGGGGAAUUUUUGCGCAAUGGGCGAAAGCCUGACGCAGCGAUGCCGCGUGUACGAUGAAGGCCUUUGGGUCGUAAAGUACUGUCAACGGGGAAGAAACGCAUCAUGUUGAAUAGGCAUGUUGUCUGACGGUACCCGUG
rnacentral:rRNA from 1 species